UUUUCAUUUGCCAAUCAAAUUUAUCUACAAUCCAUCAGUGAAAUCGAUCCCACAGGAGGCAAACAUCAGUGGCAGCAUCGUAGGCAGAGGAGAACAAAAUGGCUGCUCCCAGGUAUUGAGAUCCGGCACAAGGAAGAAAUCAGAUGUCGCGAGAGAGUUCACUCACCACUGGACCACCAGGAAUGGCAGCAGAACGGUCCCCCCUCCCUAUAAAAAGGUAAGAAGGGAGUGGGG